CGGGCUGCCGAGAGGAGGCCGGACAAGGGGCUUCCUGGGUAGCCUGCACCUGCCGGGGGGGAAGGGUCCAAAAGGAUUCCUUCUGCAAAGAUCCAGGCCUUGUACCAUCCACACUCUAUAUCCGUGUCUCUCUGAGGCCUCCUGGUUUUCAGCUGCUGCUUCCCAGAAAAUUUGGAAAAUACAGAAAAGCAUAGAAAAGAAGAUAAAGUGCAUAUAAUGAUAAUACCACCACCCGGAGGCAACCAUGGUCAUUCCGGACUCCUAAAGCCGCCAGUCCCUCAGUGAGACAUGAGCGCCACUGGCGUCCGUGGCCUCUGUUUCCGUGGCAACCCAGUAACCAUUAAUUUUCAAUUAAAGGAGACAAAAAGCUGGAUGACAGCGCUAGGUCUGCUGAAGAUGUCAAGAAUCUGUAUUAAUAUACAGCAAGAGAGCAUAAUUGUGUGUCCAUCUUCCCGAGCAGCGAAAAAUGGAGGGAUAAUUACCAGCUCGAAAGCCACUCUGUAAUUUAGUUCUUACUGUCACCACAGCCCUACACAUUAGCAUAAAUUAAAAGCAGAGUUUAUUGUUAUCAAAGUGCA